UACAGAGGUCCCGAGCGUUGUUCGGAUUCACUGGGCGUAAAGGGUGCGUAGGUGGCUCGGAAAGUUUGAUGUGAAAGCUCAGGGCUUAACCCUGAAAUGGCAUUGAAUACUGCUGAGCUGGAGGUUUGGAGGGGGGACUGGAAUUCUUGGUGUAGCAGUGAAAUGCGUAGAUAUCGAGAGGAACACCAGUGGCGAAGGCGAGUCCCUGGACAUCUCCUGACACUGAGGCACGAAAGCUAGGGGAGCAAACAGG
rnacentral:rRNA from 1 species